AUUCACACCUAAGCUGUAGAAAGUUUAAGAUUGUAAGAACCAGAUUGUUUCCAUAGUGACUAGUCACAUGAUGUGAAGUCUUGUUAAUAUUUCAUCAUGCAGCAAUGCUCAUGAAAGGUUCCUCUAUUAUUUGAAAUGUGCCAUCCAUCCAUUAUUGUAGGUGAAGUCUGUUAUAUCCAUUUGCUUUUCAAACACUCUCACUGUUUUCCAUAUCGUAUUGUACAUAUACAAUAUGUAUACUAUACAGUAGAGGUUACCAAAGUAUGGUCCAUGAACUAUUGCUGGCCCAUAUCAAUGCAAUUUUCAAAAAACUAUAGUAUCAAUAAUACAUUUCAAAGAUUGUUAGAUGAAUUUGAUGGGCGUUUCUUAAAUUUUUAAAAUUAUGAAAAAGAAUUAUAUUUGAAGAUCCAUUUUCUUUUGUUGUGAAACUGCACCAUUAAAUUUGCAACUCG
rnacentral:lncRNA from 1 species